rnacentral:rRNA from 1 species
GUGAGGAAUAUUGCGCAAUGGAGGCAACUCUGACGCAGCCAUGCCGCGUGCAGGAAGAAGGCGCUACGCGUUGUAAACUGCUUUUAACCGGGAAGAAACCCCGGGACGUGUCCUGGGUUGACGGUACCGGAGGAAUAAGCACCGGCUAACUUCGUGCCAGCAGCCGCGGUAAUACGAAGGGUGCAAGCGUUAUCCGGAUUCAUUGGGUUUAAAGGGUGCGUAGGCGGAGCGUUAAGUCAGUGGUGAAAUCCUGCAGCUUAACUGUAGACUUGCCAUUGAUACUGGCGCUCUUGAGUGCGCUUGAAGUGGGCGGAAUGUGCCGUGUAGCGGUGAAAUGCUUAGAUAUGGCACAGAACACCAAUUGCGAAGGCAGCUCACUAAGGCGAUACUGACGCUGAGGCACGAAAGCGUGGGGAUCGAACAGGAUUAGAAACCCUGGUAGUCC